rnacentral:rRNA from 1 species
UACGUAGGGGGCAAGCGUUGUCCGGAUUUACUGGGCGUAAAGAGCGUGUAGGCGGCCACGCAGGUCCGUUGUGAAAACUCGAGGCUCAACCUCGAGACGUCGGCGGAAACCAUCUGGCUAGAGUCCGGAAGAGGAGAGUGGAAUUCCUGGUGUAGCGGUGAAAUGCGCAGAUAUCAGGAAGAACACCCGUGGCGAAGGCGGCUCUCUGGGACGGUACUGACGCUGAGACGCGAAAGCGUGGGGAGCGAACAGG